CUCCACCAGUCAGGUGAGGUUAGGACAAAGCAUAGUUCUGAAGACCUGACCUGGAGGCAGAGUGAAGACAUCUCUCCCUUCAGAUGUCUAUCUGGAGUUCAGGGUUUCCUGGGUUCUGGUCUGCCCUGAAUCAAAAGAACACAGGAAAAAAGCAGCUGUUUGCGAGGAAGACAGCCCUCAUCAGGAACUAAAUCAGUUGGCACCUUGAUCUCAGACUUCCAACCUCCAGAACUGCGAGAAAUACAUUUCUGUUGUUUAGGCCACCCAUUCUGUAGUAUUUUGUCAUGGCAGCCCAAGCUGACUAAUAUAACUACCAUUAACAGUCUGAAAUUGGGCCAGGGACAGUGGCUCACACAUGUAAUCCUAGCACUCUGAGAGGUCAAGGUAGGAGGAUACCUUGAGACCAGGUUCAACACCAGCCUGGGCAACAUAGUGAGACCCACAUCUCUAUUUAAAAAAAACAAAUCAAACAAACAAAAAGAAUGGUCUGAAACUGGGGCUAUCCAAGCUGAACAUUGAAAGCACUAUAGCUACAGCAAAGAAGUAGACUAUUAUUUAAGGCAAUAUUAUGAGUUCAGUCUCUGCUUGGCUCAGAGAGGAACUGUAAACUCCUCUUUGCCAUUGGUGGCCUUUAGGCCACACAUCACUGGUGUUGGCAAGAUUGCUUUCAAACAGAUUCAAAAUGGAUUGCAUAUG
rnacentral:lncRNA from 10 species